GAAAGUAAAUAAGGGCGUAUGGGGAAUGCCUAGGCUCUUGGAGGCGAAGAAAGACGUGGUAAGCUGCGAAAAGCUCCGGGGAUUUGCAAACAAGAUUUGAUCCGGAGAUUUCUGAAUGGGACAACCCGUCAGGUAGAAGACCUGACACAUCGUAAGAUGGGCCAACCCUCUGAACUGAAACAUCUUAGUAGGAGGAGGAAAAGAAAGAAACAUCGAUUUCCUGAGUAGCGGCGAGCGAAAGGGAAAAAGCCUAAACCGGUAUUGUUACGGCAAUGCCGGGGUUGUAGGACUGCAACAUUCAAGUAACAAUGAACUGGAACGAUCUGGAAAGUUCGUCCAUAGAGGGUGAAAGGCCCGUACAGGUAAGUUCGUUAUGCGAUAGCAGUAUCCUGAGUAGGGCGGGACACGAGGAAUCCUGUCUGAAUCUGCCGGGACCACCCGGUAAGGCUAAAUACUCCCAAGAGACCGAUAGUGAACCAGUACCGUGAGGGAAAGGUGAAAAGAACCCCGAACAGGGGAGUGAAAUAGAACCUGAAACCAUACGCUUACAACCUGUCGGAGCAGCUUCGUGCUGUGACGGCGUGCCUAUUGAAUAAUGAGCCUACGAGUUACUAAUCACUGGCGAGGUUAAGUGCACGGAUGCACGGAGCCGAAGCGAAAGCGAGUCUGAACAGGGCGGCUAGUCAGUGGUUGUAGACGCGAAACCUUGCGAUCUACCCUUGAGCAGGUUGAAGGUUGGGUAAAACCAACUGGAGGACCGAACGAAUAAGCGUUGAAAAGCUUCUCGAUGACUUGAGGGUAGGGGUGAAAGGCUAAUCAAGCUGGGAAAUAGCUCGUACUCCCCGAAAUGCCUUUAGGGGCAGCGUUGUAAUAAAGAGUCUACUGGAGGUAGAGCUACUGAUUGGAUGCGGGGGCUUCACCGCCUACCAAAUCCUGACAAACUCCGAAUGCCAGUAGUAUGAUUUACAGCAGUGAGCGACCGGGUGCUAAUGUCCGGUUACGAGAGUGGAACAACACAGACCAGCAACUAAGGUCCCGAAGAGUAUACUAAGUUGAUCUAACGAUGUUUUGCUGCAGAGACAGCUAGGAUGUUAGCUUGGAAGCAGCUAUUCAUUCAAAGAGUGCGUAACAGCUCACUAGUCGAGCGGCAAAGCGUGGAUAAUAAACGGGCAUCAAGUAUACCACCGAAGUUCUGGGCACGAAAGUGCGGUAGGGGAGCAUUCCAUUGACGUCGAAGCCAUUCCGCGAGGAUAGGUGGAGUUUAUGGAAAAGCAAAUGUAGGCAUGAGUAACGAUAAUGCGGGAGAGUAACCCGCACACCGCAAGACCAAGGUUUCCUGAUCAACGCUAAUCGGAUCAGGGUUAGUCGGGUCCUAAGGGUAAGCCGAACGGUGAUCUCGAUGGACAAUCGGUUAAUAUUCCGAUACUAACAUAUACCUCGAUGGAGAGACGAAGGAACGUAAGUGACGCCGCCUGACGGAAUAGGUGGUUAAAGGGCGUAGGUAUAGGGACAGAUUAAGAGUUAGUCCUUGCUGAAACCCGACAGUACGGAGCGGCUACGGCCAAUCUGAUAGUUCACCCAAGUCGACUUCCGAGAAAAUCUUCUAAGUUAUAGUAUAUGUUACCCGUACCGUAAACCGACACAGGUGGUCGAGGAGAGUAUCCUAAGGUGCUCGAGUGAAUCACGGUUAAGGAACUAGGCAAAUUAACCCCGUAACUUCGGGAAAAGGGGUCCCUACGCGAGUAGGGCGCAGCGAAGAGGUCCAGGCGACUGUUUAUCAAAAACACAGGGCUCUGCAAAUUCGAAAGAAGACGUAUAGGGCCUGACACCUGCCCGGUGCUGGAAGGUUAAGAGGGGAUGUCAUCGCAAGAGAAGCAUUGAAUCGAAGCCCCAGUAAACGGCGGCCGUAACUAUAACGGUCCUAAGGUAGCGAAAUUCCUUGUCGGGUAAGUUCCGACCUG
rnacentral:rRNA from 1 species